UUAACUCAAAUUUGUAUGGAGUUGGAACAGCGCCCCUAGCGGCAAACGUAGGCAAACGUUCCAACUCCAUACAAAUUCUCACAA
rnacentral:pre_miRNA from 1 species